UUUUUCUUCGAGUGUGUGUGUGUACGUGUAUGUGUGUGUGUGUGAGUGUCUUCGGUGUCUAGAUUACCAGAAGGAAAAUGAAAGGAGAAACAAGGAAAUCUCU
rnacentral:sRNA from 1 species